GGGAGGUAGGUGACAAUAAAUAACAAUACGGGGUUCUUUCGGAUCUCGUAAUUGGAAUGAGUACAAUUUAAAUCUCUUAACGAGGAACAAUUGGAGGGCAAGUCUGGUGCCAGCAGCCGCGGUAAUUCCAGCUCCAAUAGCGUAUAUUAAAGUUGUUGCAGUUAAAAAGCUCGUAGUUGAAUUUCGGGAUCAAUAUGCCGGUCAUGCCUUGGUAUGCACUGGUAUCUUUGAUUUCUCCCUUCUGACGAACUUUGAUGUCAUUAAUUUGGUGUCAUAGGGAAUCAGGACUGUUACUUUGAAAAAAUUAGAGUGUUUAAAGCAAGCUCACGCUUGAAUACAUUAGCAUGGAAUAAUGAAAUAGGACGUUUGAUUCUAUUUUGUUGGUUUCUAGGAUCGACGUAAUGAUUAAUAGGGAUAGUUGGG
rnacentral:rRNA from 1 species